rnacentral:tRNA from 1 species
GCAUUAGUGGUGUAAUGGUUAACAUGUGGUCUUCCCAUUAUUUCUCAAGCGAAAGACUUCUGGCCACGUUCGGGGUCUGAUUCCCCGCUAAUGCA